rnacentral:lncRNA from 1 species
CUGAGAACUUUGUGAAGUCGUGAAACAAGAAUUUCAAAGGAAUUUGCUGGCAAGCUGCUAAGUUCUGUUACACUGGAGACCAUGCUGUACCAUCGAGAGCAACUCCACAUUUCUGCCAGCAACUUUACUUAGGCCCUACCUUAGACCAGACUGAGGAAUCAAGUUUUGUUCUCAGGGAGAAGAGAGCCAAAUGAACAAUACUCCUCACGGCAUUAUUUUUAUAAUCGAGGUGGCAGUCUGGAGAAGCAUCCUUAGAUGUGU